ensembl:lincRNA
GCCCGCCUUGGGUGUGAGAGUGGCCACUGCCGCCACUGAAGUUGAUUCAAGAGCUGGCCAUGGCCCGGUGCCGGGGUCACAGGGUUCAAGGCUGUUUAGUUCCCUGAACAGCCACCGUCGAAGGCAUCCAAGGCAUCUCUGGGUAUGCACAGGUGUGAACUUAAGCCAACAGAACCAGAGCCUACAGGACCCACCUCCCAAGGGGCAACUCUGGAACUUCCUACAGGGAGACAGCAGCAGUCUGAGUGCCCCUGCCUGUUUCUGUCACUUCAGUGAUGAGGGAGUCUUUGUGGACUCUGGGACAAGCCUCUCCGAGGGACACUCCUGUCAGGUGUUCUCAAGUCCAUCUGAAAGUGGAAAAGGAUCUCUAGGGAAACUAUAGGCUACAGGACUAGGACAUUUGUAGUGGGUCUGGUCCCUGGAGAUGGAGGGCCUUCCCUUAGUCCAGGCCUCUCCAGACUGACACUGGCCUGUUUUGUCAUCACAGUGGUAUCAAACUCAGAGUGUUCUGCAGAUGAGGGGAGGUUUAUGUGGCCUCUGGAUUGAGAAACUGCAGAGCUGACUCUCAUUGCUGGACAGCUACUUACUGGGGAGAGUCUCUGAACUAGGCUUCUUCCACUUCUGCACUGAAAUGAACACGGCCUCUGAGACCUAGCAGAGUCUGGCCCUGACUUCUGGUUGGAUUGCCCAGAUUAGACUUGCCUACCCCACACUGAUAGCUAACAUGGGUGAUGUCCUAACUUCACCUAUAUAGGAUAGCUCACUUGGCCAGGUCCUGCCCUGUCAGGGACCAGACAUUUGUGGGCAGCUUGUCUGUUCCUCACUUCAGCAAACUUCACACUAUUGUUUCUAAAGUAAAGCUGCAAGUUCCAAAGUAAACUUUCCAUUAACUCAAGAGUUUUUUGUUUUGUUUUGUUUUUGGUGGUUCAAAGCAAUCUAGCAACUGCUGGGAGUAUGGGAGUCUGUCCACUUGAAACAGCCACCAAGAAGCAGAUCUCUACCAUCCUUCCCCUGCAAAGCAAAGCAUAGUGGCCAUCUGAAGGAGGAGGCUUGGUGGCUUUUUUUUUUUGGUUUUUCGAGACAGGGUUUCUCUGUAUUGUUUUGGAGGCUGUCCUGGAACUCGCUCUGUAGAACAGGCUGGCCUCGAACUCCCAGAGAUCCACCUGCCUCUACCUCCCAAGUGUCAGGAAAAAAUGGCAUGUGCCACCAACGCUCGGCUGCUUGGCAGCUUCUUUAGUGCUACCAGCAAUAGUAUACUACACACUGGACCUGGCCUAGGCAGGGGCCUCCAGGAGAAACAGGUGCUCCUCAGGACACAGGGAACAUGUAGAAAGACUCAAAAGAAGAGGAUGUAGCUUACCCCUGCCUAGCUUCCUGUGUGGGGUGGUCUCUGGGUGGAACCUGGCACUGCAUCCACUGGACUAUGUGCUUAGCCUGGGAGAUGAACCAUGCCAAGAGGUUUAUUCAACUCUCCCGAGGGCUUUAAGUGGGGGGAGCAGGUUCCUCAGACCCAUCUUCGCACCAAGGACACAACCCUAGUGGCUUUUGCAUUCUAGGAUCCAUCAUAUGUGACCUUUUGCUUGACCCUGCCUGCCUGGGGCCACGGGUCAGGCAGGUCUAGGCUGCAGCAGGCUCAGGCUGGAAUGCAGACAGGAAUAGUUGCUGGAAGUUCUGGCCUGCUGACACCAAUCAGGAGCCUCCCUC